GACGAACGCUGGCGGCGUGCCUAAUACAUGCAAGUUGAGCGCUGAAGGUUGGUACUUGUACCAACUGGAUGAGCAGCGAACGGGCGAGUAACGCGUGGGGAAUCUGCCUUUGAGCGGGGGACAACAUUUGGAAACGAAUGCUAAUACCGCAUAAAAACUUUAAACACAAGUUUUAAGUUUGAAAGAUGCAAUUGCAUCACUCAAAGAUGAUCCCGCGUUGUAUUAGCUAGUUGGUGAGGUAAAGGCUCACCAAGGCGAUGAUACAUAGCCGACCUGAGAGGGUGAUCGGCCACAUUGGGACUGAGACACGGCCCAAACUCCUACGGGAGGCAGCAGUAGGGGAUCUUCGGCAAUGGACGAAAGUCUGACCGAGCAACGCCGCGUGAGUGAAGAAGGUUUUCGGAUCGUAAAACUCUGUUGGUAGAGAAGAACGUUGGUGAGAGUGGAAAGCUCAUCAAGUGACGGUAACUACCCAGAAAGGGACGGCUAACUACGUG
rnacentral:rRNA from 1 species